rnacentral:rRNA from 1 species
UACAGAGGGUGCAAGCGUUAAUCGGAAUUAUUGGGCGUAAAGGGCUUGUAGGUGGUACUAUAAGUUAGAUGUGAAACCCCUGGGCUUAACCUGGGACGUGCAUUUAAUACUGUAGUGCUAGAGUAUGGCAGAGGAGUGGGGAAUUCCUGGUGUAGCAGUGAAAUGCGUAGAGAUCGGGAGGAACAUCAGUGGCGAAGGCGGCCAUCUGGGACAACACUGACGCUGAAGCACGAAAGCGUGGGGAGCAAACAGG